UGGGGAAUUUUGGACAAUGGGCGCAAGCCUGAUCCAGCAAUGCCGCGUGCAGGAUGAAGGCCUUCGGGUUGUAAACUGCUUUUGUACGGAACGAAAAGGCUCUGGUUAAUACCUGGGGCUCAUGACGGUACCGUAAGAAUAAGCACCGGCUAACUACGUGCCAGCAGCCGCGGUAAUACGUAGGGUGCAAGCGUUAAUCGGAAUUACUGGGCGUAAAGCGUGCGCAGGCGGUUAUGUAAGACAGAUGUGAAAUCCCCGGGCUCAACCUGGGACCUGCAUUUGUGGCUGCAUAGCUAGAGUACGGCAGAGGGGGAUGGAAUUCCGCGUGUAGCAGUCAAAUGCGUAGAUAUGCGGAGGAACACCGAUGGCGAAGGCGAUCCCCUGGGCCUGUACUGACGCUCAUGAACGAAAGCGUGGGGAGCAAACA
rnacentral:rRNA from 1 species